rnacentral:rRNA from 1 species
UACAGAGGGUGCGAGCGUUAAUCGGAAUUACUGGGCGUAAAGCGCGCGUAGGCGGCUUUGCAAGUCGGGUGUGAAAUCCCCAGGCUUAACCUGGGAACUGCAUUCGAGACUGCAUUGCUAGAGCAUGGGAGAGGGAAGUGGAAUUUCCGGUGUAGCGGUGAAAUGCGUAGAUAUCGGAAGGAACAUCAGUGGCGAAAGCGACUUCCUGGACCAAUACUGACGCUCAUGUGCGGAAAGCGUGGGGAGCAAACAGG